rnacentral:rRNA from 2 species
AAAGCUCUUUUGUCCGGGACGAUAAUGACGGUACCGGAAGAAUAAGCCCCGGCUAACUUCGUGCCAGCAGCCGCGGUAAUACGAAGGGGGCUAGCGUUGCUCGGAAUCACUGGGCGUAAAGGGCGCGUAGGCGGCCGAUUAAGUCGGGGGUGAAAGCCUGUGGCUCAACCACAGAAUUGCCUUCGAUACUGGUUGGCUUGAGACCGGAAGAGGACAGCGGAACUGCGAGUGUAGAGGUGAAAUUCGUAGAUAUUCGCAAGAACACCAGUGGCGAAGGCGGCUGUCUGGUCCGGUUCUGACGCUGAGGCGCGAAAGCGUGGGGAGCAAACAGGAUUAGAUACCCUGGUAGUC